rnacentral:misc_RNA from 1 species
UCUCCGUUGGUGAACCUGCGGAGGGAUCAUUACCGAGUUUACAACUCCCAAACCCCUGUGAACAUACCUAUCGUUGCCUCGGCGGUGCCCGCUCCGGCGGCCCGCCAGAGGACCCCCAAACUCUUGUUUUAUACAGUAUCUUCUGAGUAACACGAUUAAAUAAAUCAAAACUUUCAACAACGGAUCUCUUGGUUCU